rnacentral:tRNA from 2 species
GCCUCCUUAGCUCAGCUGGUAGAGCAACUGACUUGUAAUCAGUAGGUCGCUGGUUCGAUCCCGGCAGGGGGCUCUA